UACGAAGGGUGCAAGCGUUAAUCGGAAUUACUGGGCGUAAAGGGUGCGUAGGCGGUUGUUUAAGUCUGUCGUGAAAUCCCCGGGCUCAACCUGGGAAUGGCGAUGGAUACUGGGCAGCUAGAGUGUGUCAGAGGAUGGUGGAAUUCCCGGUGUAGCGGUGAAAUGCGUAGGGAUCGGGAGGAACACCAGUGGCGAAGGCGGCCUUCUGGACCAAUACUGACGCUCAUGCACGAAAGCGUGGGGAGCAAACAGG
rnacentral:rRNA from 1 species